rnacentral:lncRNA from 1 species
AGAGGACAGCCGUGGGCUUUGGACAGAGGCAGCCCCAGGAUGACUUGAAAGUAGGACAUCCUUGGCCCUCCUGAAGAGAGUAGUGGCUGGUGAACGGUCUGUAUGACAUUCUCAGAUGCCUUUACCUGAGUGAGAAAUCUGCCUCCAUCAGGACCUCAGAUGUCUGACAGCCCUAUGUGACAUCAGGAUAGGAUAUUCCUGUAAAUAUACUGCAGGACAUGUGGCGCUCUACAGCACUGACAACAUUUUCUGCCUGUUGAUGAUGUGCCAGAAUUGCCAGGCCCACGUUGAGGCCAGACUGCUUGUCCAUUCACCAUCAGACUACGAUCCUCAAGAGCUGGCAAUUGGUCAUUGAAUCCCUACCCUUGUACUGUGUCCUUCAUGAAACAGGCAUUUGAAGACUGAAGUGUUGUAUCAAGUUUGGUUUCCAAUGUGUCUUUUUGCUGAUAAGCCACUAAACAGAUCCUCAAUAAAUAAUUACUCAGUGAUAAAGUUUGACUUUUC